rnacentral:rRNA from 1 species
UACGUAGGGACCAAGCGUUGUCCGGAAUCAUUGGGCGUAAAGAGUGUGUAGGCGGUGUUCUAAGUUUGUCGUGAAAUCUCCCGGCUUAACUGGGAGGGUGCGGCGAAAACUGGAAUGCUAGAGGAUGGGAGAGGUAAGCGGAAUUCCUGGUGUAGAGGUGAAAUUCGUAGAUAUUCGCAAGAACACCAGUGGCGAAGGCGGCUCACUGGCCCGGUACUGACGCUGAGGUGCGAAAGCGUGGGGAGCAAACAGG